rnacentral:rRNA from 1 species
GAGACAGCAGUAGCCGCGGUAAAACGUAGGUGGCAAGCGUUGUCCGGAAUUAUUGGGCGUAAAGGGCUCGCAGGCGGUUUCUUAAGUCUGAUGUGAAAGCCCCCGGCUCAACCGGGGAGGGUCAUUGGAAACUGGGAAACUUGAGUGCAGAAGAGGAGAGUGGAAUUCCACGUGUAGCGGUGAAAUGCGUAGAGAUGUGGAGGAACACCAGUGGCGAAGGCGACUCUCUGGUCUGUAACUGACGCUGAGGAGCGAAAGCGUGGGGAGCAAACAGGAUUAGAUACCCCGGUAGUCCCUGUCUCUUAUAC